GUAGCUGUUGUAUAAUUGGUUAAUACAUUUGUCUGUGGAGCAACUGUUGUAGGUUCAAGUCCUUCCAGCUACCCGA
rnacentral:tRNA from 1 species